GGCUGGGGCUCCGGGCGGCCGCCGGGGAGCCAGGAGACCGCGCUGGGCAGCGGAUGAGGUGGGGAGGCUGUGGCCCAGGGCACCUCCCCCCCGGCUUCCCUAACCCUGCCCGGUCCCACCCGAGGGGGAGGAUGGAAACACCAGCCGCGCUCUGAGACCCUCAGGAAGAUAACACCUUUCCCGCCUUAUCACCCCGCGGUCCUGCGGAGACCACUGCCUGGUCCCUUCCACGUCUCCAUCUCCCACAGAGGGGCCGAGCAGAAAAACGAGCAAUGGCGGAAAUUCUGAGGAAACUGGUCUCCAACGAAGCUUUACGAUCGAUGCAGGACAAGCUAGAGUCCUGGCUGAGGGAGUACAACACAAACUCAUGUGAUCAAAAUCUAAAUCAAUGCCUUGAACUCAUUGAACAAGUUGCCAAAGUGCAGGGACAACUCUUUGGGAUCCUCACGACCACAGCCCAGGAAGGAGGACAUUACGAUGGUGUGGAAAUAAUCAAAUCGCGCCUUUUGCCUUGGCUGGAGGCCUCAUUUACUGCUGCUUCCCUGGGAAAACCUGUUGACAGCAGGGUCCCCUCUCUACAGGACACGUUUGAUAAGGAGAGACAGAAAGAGUCUGGUGUUCGGGAGCGGGACAUACAACAAUUAGACUUUGAGUUGAACUCAACUCGUAAUCAACUCAACCAGGUUCAAGACGAUCUGGGUGCAACUGAAAAGACUCUUGAAGAAACCAAGAACAGAUCGGCCAUAUCCCUUUUGGCUGCAGAGGAGGAAAUAAAUCAGCUAAAAAAGCAGCUUAAAUCUCUUCAAGCCCAGGAGGACGCCCGCCAUAGAAACUCACAGCAUAGGAGCUCAGAGCACAGGCGCUCGGAGCAGAGGAAAUCGGAGCCAAGGGGCUCGGAGCCGAGGGGUGCUGAAAAGCGGAGCAAAGACCCGCGGAGUAUGGAAGUGAUAUCCGAUUAUGAGAAACAGCUCCGAACGCUGAAGGACGAGAUAGCCGCUCUGUCUGCGGAAAAAUCUGCACUCCAAGGAAGGUCCACCAGGAGCCGGUCUCCUAGCCCUGCCCCGCACAGCCGCAGCCAGAGCCGUAGUCAGAGCCGCAGUCAGAGCCGCAGCCAGAGCCGCAGUCAGAGCCGCAGCCGCAGCCGCUCCGCCAGCCCCUCCACCGCGGUCGCGAAGAUCAGGAGCCCGUCCCCAAAUCGCGCCAAACUGUCCAGCGUUGCGCGCAAGGCUGCCCUCCUGUCCCGCUUCGGUGACGCCUAUUCCCAGGCCCGCCUGGAUGCGCAGUGCUUGCUGCGGCGCUGCGUCGACAAAGCCGAGACCGUGCAGCGCAUCAUCUACAUCGCCGCCGUGGAGGCAUUCCAUGUAGCUAAAAUGGCAUUCAGACAUUUCAAGAUCCGUGUGAGAAAAUCACUGACACCAUCUUAUGUGGAGUCAAAUGACUUUGAGGAUGCUGUCUCGGAUUAUAUCAUUUGUCAUCUUGAUCUAUAUGAUUCCCAAAGCAGUGUUAACGAUGUGAUCCGAGCCAUGAAUGUCAAUCCCAAGAUUUCAUUCCCUCCUGAAGCUGACUUUUGCCUCCUCAGUAACUUCAUCCAGGAGAUAUGUUGCAUUGCUUUUGCAAUGCAGACUUUAGAACCACCCCUAGAUAUUGCAUUUGGGGCCGAUGGAGAAGUUUUUAACGAUUGCAAGUACCGUCGCAGCUAUGACUCCGAUUUCACUGCUCCCUUGGUCUUGUAUCACAUCUGGCCUGCUCUCAUGGAGAAUGACAAUGUCAUUAUGAAGGGAGAAGCUGUCACCAAGAGAGGGGCUUUUGUACGGUGGCCUUGCAUAGUGACAAUUCAUCCCAAGUGUUUGAUUCACAAUGGAAUUCAGUGCGAUCUGUAAGUCGGUGUCGCAGCAGGAGUCUAAGUCCCAUCUGCCCCCGUAGCCAUGUUGGUUUAAGCACGAUCUCUCGCAGCCGGAGCCCUUCUCCAAUAAGAUGCGUAUUGCCCAGGUUUUAAAACCAUCAGCCGUGUUCCUUUGCCACAGUACAUCUGCAACAGUCAGCUUCCCCAGUGCCUCCAUCCGCCUGCUGUGUCUGCCUCCGACCUCAUUUAAGAUAAUGUGAAAGGCAAUUCUGUGUAUCACUCCACACAGAGAGUUAAAUGUUUUGGCUUAGCAUGUUUGUAACUUCAGAUAUAUUGCAUUUUAUUUUAUUUUAUAGGUACAAAUUCCAUUAAUUUGAUAAAAAACAAUUGCAUAGGUGUUUAGGAUCAUAUUCAUUCGAAGCAGAGUCUAUUACACAGGUUCAGGAUUUUCAUCCUGAAAUACCAGGCCUUUUUAUGGCAACUAUGUGAACAAAAGUGGAAAAUCUUUACCAUGCUGAGUCCAAAAGACAAGAUGAGUCAUUUUAGCUUAUAAGUUGAUCACGAAUAUUAUAAUGGCUGGUAUUAGCUUUAACAUGAAAACAAUAUUGUUGUUUUAAUCUUCCUUUAAGGUUUGGAAGACAGCCCUAAUCUCAGGUUGGUGGACUCGUAGCUGUAGCUGGGACUUCAGGCUAAAUGUAGAUGAUGAUUUAAGAGAAUACAGUUCGUUGGCUUGCUUCUCCUUUCCUACUUUGAGAGUGCCCUGUAUGACUUAGUUGAGUACUAUAUGUUGAAGCCACUGACUUGAGAGAAUUUUCUCGCUUCAUAAAUGUGGAGCAGUGAUGUGGCUAGAAGCCAGCUUUGAGAUAAAUGCUAAUUACCUUGUGUUUAUCUUCUGGGAAUGUCUCAUACUGUUUUAAUGUUUUAAUAAAAGCUACUGGGACAUGCCCUUUAUCUAUUCCACCUAGUAGUUCACGACUUCAGACCUCCUAUGAACUCCAUCUGACUAGAAUACCUAAACUCAAGGCCUAGAAAUAGGGGCACCAUUUAUUGAUUUAAAUUGAGUGUAUAUCCCUUAGUUUCUUCAGCGUAAAGUACUGUUGAAAGUUCAAGAUAAUAAUGGAAUGUGGCUUUCUCAAGAUAAUGGUCUUUCUGCUUUUUUUUUCACUUUAAAGCCGACCUUAAACACAUGCCUUACGAGUGCCUUCUUUCGCCGUGUGCCUUUUAGAGACAAGCUCUGAAUUGGCCAGAGCUCAGUUCGCAUAAGCUCAGUACAAAAACCAGCAUGUGAGGCUUUUAAGGUGAAAAAAAUCCCAACUUCUCUAAAGCAUCUUGUCCCUUGUGCUGGGAGAGAGAGACGACGGACAGACCACCUCAGUCCCUGCCCCUUGGGUCUAAUGGUCACCAGCUCAUUCUGAAAGGUGCGAUUCAUUCUCCUCCCUCUGUGGGCAUCACUUGGAGGCAACACAGUGUGCUCUAAGGAGAACUCCGUGUCCAGUUUGGUCCUCACCUUGCUUUGUGGUCUUGAGCACGUUACUUCACCUCUCUGAACCUUAGCUUCAUUGUAGAGUAAGAAGGUUGGAUGAGAUUAUGGUUUUCUCAACCCUCCAAGACUCAGUGUCCCCUUUUAUAAAAAACAUUUUUUUCUGGUUAUUCUGAAAGGAAAUUUAAAGUUAAUAUGAUCUGUAUUGUGUAUAUACUUUUAAACAAUGAAUAUAGUACUCUACCUGUAAUAUAAAGCAGAAAAAAAAGAAAGCAGUUUUUAAUAAAAUAAAAUGUAUUUCAGUAAAAAGCUUGGGUGUAACCAUCCUAGAAGAUAAAAUCAAGUUAUCAGAUGCUUGCACCUGUGUGUGGAACACCCUAUCUGCUACAAAUGCAGCUCAUUGCAUUGGCAACAUCGCCAACAGUGUUGUCAUUGGAUAUGAUUUUCUGAAAGUGUGGACAACUCCUGGUAAAGUUUUGAACAAAAAUCUUACAGUUGUGCCUUGAUUAUCACAGUAAACGCAUUCCUAGAAAAAUCAGUGUACACUAAAACCAUGUAACAAUUCCUUUGUGUUAUAUGUUAAACGUCUUUUCUAAAAUCUCACUAAGUAAUGAGAAUGCCUAAAUAUCAGAAUUUUUGUUGUAUGUAGGAAUGUAUGCCCUGAUUUGGAAAAAGGUCACAUGUAGCUCAGUUUAUUUGAUUUCUACCCUGUCUGGCCAAUUGCCAUUUCUCAAGUUUCUGAUUUGAACUUUAACUACACAGGGAAUGGUGAAUAGUCUAGAAUAAUUUUUGGAAAGGAUUCACAAAACAAAGGAGAGUGACCUAUACUCAUUUAUCUGGGCAUAUACCUUAACCUUAGUAACUUUGAAGAUGAAAAGCUCUUACUUUUGUACCUGUGUCAAUUUCUGUAUUAUCGGUUUAACAUCUACUAGUAAAAUCAAGAAAAAGAAUGCUUCUGUAUCUGGAGGUUCUGUGCCAUGACAUGCUUUCUCUCCAGAUUCCCAAGUUCAGCUAUGGUCUUCACCCAUCUCCAUUCUGUGAGGCCUGAACCAGGGCCACAAAUUCGUUCAGUAAAUAUCAACUGCACCCCUGCUCUGGGGUUGACUCUGUGAUUGCUGCAAUUCAAUAAAGUAAUUGCCAGCUCUAGUCUGUUUUACUCACAA